rnacentral:rRNA from 1 species
UACCCGCAGCACAAGUGGUGGUCAUUAUUAUUGGGCCUAAAGCGUCCGUAGCUGGCUUGUUAGAUGCCUGGGUAAAUCGAUGCGCUCAACGUAUCGAACUCCGGGUAGACCGGCAAGCUCGGGACCGGGAGAGGCGUGAGCUACUCGGGGGGUAGGGGUAAAAUCCUGUAAUCCUCCGGGGAGGACCAGUGGCGAAGGCGUCACGCUAGAACGGCUCCGACAGUGAGGGACGAAGCCCUGGGGCGCAAACCGG